UCUAAAUCAGAAUAAUAACCCAAACCUGGGGCUCUGAUCAUACCAUAUGUUUCAAAUCAUCUUCCAGGGCCAGGGUGACCCACUGUGCUUUCUCUAGCCAGCAGGACCAGACAAAUUGAACAUCCUGAUAGUAGUGUCUCUGUGUCUGAUUUGAGGCAGAUGCCAUCAGCACCCCAGAUGCCCAUCCCUUCUGGAUAUCUUACAUGAAAUGUGCUGGGAAAUAAAAUAAACACUGAGAUGUUUAUACAGAACCUUGUCACAAGAACAGUCUGUGUGACUAGCAUAGCUUUAAUAUUUUAAUAUCCCAAAGGAAAUGAUCUAAAGGAAAUUCUGUGCCACAGCUGUUUCCCAGUCUGUUCCACCAGUGAGUAGGCUUCGGGUGAGAAAAGACUGAGAGUGGACACAGAUGGGGCUGCUGAUCUUAACUGACCGUAGCUGUCCAAUGGAAAUGUCCAAGCAGCUGUUUAAGAAAAUUCUCAAAUUCAUCACUUCAGAAUGUGAAGAUGUGGAGCCUAGCCCUGUCUGGAGAAGUAAAAGGCUUCUUUCUUGCUGUCUGUAUGAGUGAUGUCAUCACAAAAAACAGUCCCCUGCCCUUCCCAUGGCAGUGCCUAGCCCAGGAAAGCAGUAAAGCACAACAGAUGAGCAGUAAAGCACUCAGCAGAUAAAGCUCUGCCUUUUAUGACAUAAAUCAAUAAUCCAGCUGCAAUUGUUAGUCUUGUUAGUAAUUCUUCCAUUAUACAGAGCAUCUAACCAGAGACACUGGAAGCAUGCACAGUCCUGGUCACCAAGACAGAUAUUUACUCAUUUAUCUUUCCACGAUUUUAUUAAAUUGUCAUCUGUCUCAGAAAGACUGUGAGUCUCUUCUGAGAAUUUCAACCACUCAUCUUAGCAUUGCUGUCAGUUUGCUCUUACAGCAGUAAUGUUAAGACUGGACUUUCAAGGCUGGACUUUUAGGUGUCAAGGGAAAGGCAAGCAGUGGUGGAAAGCACCAUGAUCUGAGUGAAAAUGUCCAUGCUUUCUUCUCCAUGAUGAACCCUGACACACAGUCUGUGACUACCUAUGGUGGAUAGACCAAAACUGGAUGAAACUGCAGCACAGUGCACACCUAAAAGAUGCACAAGGCUGGAGGGAGUUAUUGAGUGGGAAAGAAUGCCCCAACUGUAAGGAAGAGCUACCUGGCAGCAGCAACAUAACAGUGCCUUCUACUGUAAGUUUAGGAAGGUUUCAAGUUCAAGAGCCUCCCAACUGAUAUCCAGUCUUUUUAGACUGUGCUGAAUAUUUUGCAAGUGCUCAAUUUUCCAGGGACCUGCACAGUGCCAUCCAACAUCAUGGCAGAGAUUAUGUGGCCAUGAUGUCGAAUUUUUUUCUGGAUGGCUGGACCUCAACUACAAAAUUCUUCAGUCCUGCUGGAAGAUGAAAUCCUUGAUAAGUUUGAAGUUCUUGGUCAGGCUGUAUGAAAACAAUGGAACUUUAUGACUAAAUCUGGGAUAAACCUUUGUGGGCUUGGUCAGAUUUCCAUUUUCUAGAACAUUCUUCGUGUUGGUUCUUCAUUGACUGGUCACUUCUUAUCAGCUGCCCUCCUACACCUCCUGCUCUCACAAGAAGCUGUUAAUGGUCAUCUUUCCAGAGUGAUCUAGUGUUUUAAAAGUCAGUCCUGUGCAGUUUGUUAACUUGUGUAUGGGAACAAAAGAUUCCAAAAUCCCCCUACAACUUUUUGUUUCUGAAAUUUUACUCACUUUUGCAGUGAAGGGUUUAUCAAUAUUAAUAUAAAUAGAAGAAUGUACCAUAUCAAGACUGUUCUGGAGAGUUCUUCCUGGGGAAAGAUCCUACCAAAAGUCAUUAAGUAGUUACAGCCAUGGAUUUUGGGAUAUUACUUUAUUUAACAAAACAUGCCACUAACAUUUAAACAAAUAUUUGGUGCCUGGUUUUUUGCAGCAUUUUCCACUGCAUAAAACUUGGUCAUGAUUUCUGACUUGUAAUUAACUUUUCAUUUACAUUGAUCAUGCAGUUAAUCUCGCUUAGUUUUAAGCCUUUUAUGAUUGGAAAAUGCUUAGAACUACUCAAGCAAGAAAGUGUUUUGUCCACCCUUAUCACAGUAUGAAAAAGACACAGCAGUUAAUUUUAUGUUAUUGAAUUAUUGGGCUGUGUUUUCUAAUAUAAGAGUAGAAAAACAGUAGGGUGCAUCAAACUGGCUGAUGACAGCUCAAAAUAAGGGUGAGUGGGAGCAGAGCACCAGAGUUAGAUAAUUUUACAAAUUAUUAGGCUCUUUACAAAUUGAUCUAAUUUUGUUUUUCUUUUAAUGUCUCUUUUUCAUCUGAUUUCCUCUAUGACUGCCCCGAAGUUUUUUGCCAGUUUGCCAACUCAGAAAAUUUUAUGGGGUAUUUUAUUUCUACUGUUGUUCUAUUAUGUUGAAUAAUUAUUCUUACCCCCUCAGAUUAUCCUUCCAGAGGUAUUCUUCUGCUUAAUUUUUUUAUCAAUAUCUACUCUAUGGAUUUGCUUUCUGUACGUACUAUUUUAUUUAUGAACAUCAGAUUUCUGACUCUCAUUUCAGUUGGAAAUGUUCUACAUCACCAUAUGCCACCAGCCAACAAUGCUCACAAUUGCCUCUUGCACUAUGAUUAAAUAAUUUCCAGUUCUUUAGAAGAAAAAUAAUGGAUGUCACACAAACAGCAUUAAAAAAACUCCCAAAAAACAAAAAAACACAAAAAAUCUCAUUUCCAUACAUUUGUCACUAUGGAAAAUUAUCCCCAUAGUAAUACUCAAAGUUUGCAAUGUUUAUCAAGAAAAUAAAGAUCAGGUGUUUGGGUUUUUUUUUCCCAGAAAAUUAUAAAAUAUUUACUUUAAAGACUGUCAAAGGAGUGUCCCAUAUGUGUGCAUGUACACAUACAUAAAUACAUAUAUAUGUGUCUGUGUGUGCAUAUCUAGCAAGAGAGGGUGGAAUGACUGAUGGAAAUUCUAAUAUAUAAAACUGAAAGAAAUGAAGAAAUCAGGUUUUCAGUAGGCAGCAAAAACCCAUAUAUGUGGUAGGACAGAAUUGUCACUACUCGUGUCACCCAAGGUUCAAUACUGGGCCCAUUAUUUUUUUUCAUUUUUCAUCAAUAACUUGGAUGAAGAGACAGAUGCCUCUCAGCAGGCUCAUUAAUGACACAAAGCUGGGAGGAGUGGCUGAUAACCCAGAGUGCUGCGCAGCCCAUCAGAAGGACUUCUAAAAGUUAGACAGAUGAGCAGAGAACACUCUGAAAUUCAACAAAGGCAAAUGUAGGGUCCUGCAGCUGGAGAGGAAUAACCCUGUGCACCAGCACAGGAUGGGGCAGACCUGCUGCAAGGCAGCUCUGUGGAGAAGAGCCUGAAGGUCCUGGUGGGUAGCAAGCUGCUCAUGACCCAGCAUUACCCUUGUGUCCAAAAAAGACAAUGCUAUCCUGGGGUGGGCUAAGAGCACUGCCAGCAUCUCAAGGGAGCUGAUCCUGCACCACUACUAGCUUUAUUGAGGCCACAUCUGAGGUACUGUGUCCAUUUUUGGGCUUCUCAGUACCAGAGAGACAUGGAGCUCCUGGAGCAGGUCCAGUGGGAGACUACAAAGGUAAUUAAGAUCAGCUGAGGAAGCUGGACCUGUUCAGCUUCAAGCACAGAUGAUUUAGAGGAGAUCUCAUCAAGUUCUAAAAGUAUCUGAAGAGAGGACACCAAGAUGUUGGAGUCAGGAUCUGCUUGGUGGUGCCAAGCAAUAGGGAAAGAGGCAAUGUGCAGAAAGUGAUGCACAGGAAGUUCCGCCUGAAUGUAUGGAAAAACUUCUUCCCUUUUUGAGUCACUGCAUACUGGAAAAGAUUGCCCAGAGAGAUUGUGGA